AUUUGAAGAGAAAAAUGUGAAUAAAGUGGGUUUAACGUGGUGAAAUAGCUUCUUGAAAUGUUCGAAUUUUGCGAAUUUUUGAACUUUAAGGUCGAAUAUCUCGUAAACUAAGUACCUAUAACCCUAUAUAUUUUUUAAUCAGGAGGACUUCCUCUUUCCAACGGUACCUUCAAAUCGCGGCGCCAAAGAAAUUUGUGCAAACUGCACAAACACCAAGUACUAAACAGUGGAAACAAAGCCUAAAGAUUUGAUUUGGAUAAUUGAGGCUGUCCUUAAACUAUAAAAUUACAACGAAAAGUUGUAUUACUUUUUAUUUAUGUUGAUGGCAUCAAUGUAUAUUGAAUUCAUUUCUAACCAUAAAUGUGAUAACUGAAGAACAGUUCAGCCAAUUUUGUGCACACUCCACGUAGCGUUUACUAAAUAGUCGAAACAAAGCCUAAUGAUUUGGUUUGGAUAGAUGAGCCAGUUCUUAAGUUAUAAAAUUACAGCGAAAAGCUUACAUUGCUAGCUAAGUUACAAUUUUCGGUUGUUGUUAUUUACUUAUUUGCUUAGAUCACUUACGUUCGCAAUAACGGCGUGAUUGCUGACAGUGCUAACUUAAAUGUGUCACGUCUAUAACAUUAAAAGAAAAAAUACACGUUACAUAAAACAUUUAUUCUUGCUGAAUUAUACGAGUGUAUUGUCACUCUCUCCUACAGGUACAAAUCUCCACAGAGCGCAUAGAAAUUAUAUGGAAAAUUUGGCACAAAUAAGGCAACAAUAUUAUUGGCCUUUAAUGAUAAAGCAAUUUAAACAAUAUGCGAAAAAUUACAGCAUAUGUAACACAAAUAAAUAUGAAAGACAUCCAAAACUAAUUCCAAUAGGGAAAGAACCUACAUAUAUCACAAAAAGAGGGAGAACAAUUUCACAUCAAUAUUUUUUUCGUACAGAAAUUAAAAUUUCGUACGUGCAUUGAUUCUUAUUCCAAAUUUUUAACGAUAUAAUAUAUUGAAGACAAAUCAAAUUUAGAAGAAAAAAUUCAAGAACUUUUAUAAUCAUUCCCAGAUGUAAAAAGAAUAGUUAUUAACAAUACACCAGGAUUAAGUACAAUUCAAUUCAAAUCCUUAAUGGAACGACUAAAUAUGUAUUACAAAUUUAUUACUGUACACCACGUCAUAGCACUAGUAAUGGGCAAAUAGAAAGCAUUCAUUCGACAUUAAUUGAAAUUUCAAGAACAGGAAUAUUGUUUAAUUAUUAUGAAGCAAUUAUUAGAGCGGCUCAACAAUUUAAUAAUACAAUACAAAAUACAUAAUUUAUUUAAUAAAGAAACCCAAGUAGACUUGAAAUUCAUGUUACAAAAAGGUUACAAAAAGCUAGCAUAAAGGAAAAAUCAUAUAUGAAAAAUAUAUGUAUAAGGAAAAGAAAUCCUAAAUAAAAACAAGUAAGGAAGGGCUAAGUUCGGGUGUCACCGAACAUUUUAUACUCUCGCAUGAUAAAGUGAUAAUCGAGAUUUCAAAAAUAUUACAUAUUUUUCAAAUACCGUAAUUUUGUAAAGUUUUAUUCCGCUAUCAUCAUUGAUUCCUAAUGUACAUAUACAUGUAUUAUACAGAGAAGGCAUCAGAUGGAAUUCAAAAUAGCGUUAUAUUGGAAGAAGGCGUGGUUGUGAACCGAUUUCACCCAUAUUUCGUACAUGCCAUCAGGGUGCUAAGAAACUAUUAUAUACCGAAUUUCAUUGAAAUCGGUGGAGUAGUUCCCGAGAUAUGGGUUUUGGUCCAUAAGUGGGCGACGCCACAACUAUUUUCAAUUUUUAAAAAAAGCCUGGGUGCACCUUCCUUCUGCCAUUUCUUCCGUAAAAUCUAGUGUUUCUGACUUUUUUUUUUUAGUCGGUUAACGCACUUUUAGUGAUUUUCAACAUAACCUUUGUAUGGGAGUUGGGCGAGGUUAUUAUCCGAUUUCUUCCAUUUUUGAACUGUAUAUGGAAACGCCUGAAGAAAACGACUCGGUAGAGUUUGGCUGACAUAGCUAUAGUAGUUUCCGAGAUAUGUACAAAAAACUUAGUAGGGGGCGGGGCCACGCCCACUUUUCCAAAAAAAUUGCGUCCAAAUUUAAUCUGUAAUUAUUUAAAUUUAAUUUUCUUAAUUACAAUGAAAUAAAAGACUGGAUUUAUUAAUUUGCAAAUUUGCAGUUGAGUUACGAGCAUUUAUCAUAUUUGUUUUAAUAUCGUCCCUAAUGUUUCUAGCAAUAGUAAUAAAAUUACCACUAUUAGGUAAAUCUAUAUUAGUGGUGGAAAAUUCUUCUGGCUCAAGUGUAAUAUUAAUUGGUACUUCUACCUUGUACAAAAUGCAUAUAUUGUGUAGAGCGCAGCUUACGUUCAAAAUUUUAACGAAUUUUUCAGGCGCGUAAUGUAGCUCUCUUGCAGAUAACAAGCAUCGAAAUCUCCUUCAAUACACCAAACACGCGUUCAAUUAGUGAUCGGCCUUUUGUAAACUGUUGGUUGAAAUAGAGUUCGUCAGAACGUUCUGGCGCAUUCCUAUAUGGUGUUAGCAGCCAAGGUUCAAGAGGAUAUCCGGAGUCUCCUAUAAUAAUAAUAACAAAAUCAUAUACAUAAGUGUUGCUUAGAGAUGUUGAUAAUUUCUUUUAAAACAUCAAUAUAAUGUAAUAAUAUAUAACAAUUUUAUCUUAUCAUUUUCGUAGUUCGUCCUCAAACUUUCACGUUCUCCUGAGAGGUUCCAUACGUGGGAGUCAUGCGAUGCGCCUCCAAAUCUACCAUUUACUGCCCUUAUCUGCAUUUUGUGAUCACAUAUCUAAAAAAAGUUGUAGGUCAUUGCACUGGAAUCAAUAUACAUAAGUAUGUAUGUACGUGUAUAUUAUUGUAUUUAUGAAUGUUCUUACCACCAUUGCAUUUAUGCUGUGUUUUAGUUUACGAUUAAAAAAUAAGUGUUCAUUCCGUGAUUGUCGUAUCAACUGGAUGUGCGUCCCAUCAAUCACUCCAAUUACACCUGGAAUUCCGGACGUCAAGUAAAAGGUUCUAUUUGCUUCAAUUUUUUCCUCAAUGGUCAAUGCUUUGGGCACAGAGUUUUCUCGAUGGCAUCGCACACUUCCAAGAUGCAUCGGGAAACCGAUUGUUGGGCUAGCCCUGAAUGCCUAUCUUGGCCGACCGAGUGUUGAUACCCGCCCUGUGCGAGGAACUUCAAGGUUGUUAACAGUUUUACAAUUUCUGGAAUUGAUGAGGUCCUUUGAGCGACUUUUAAUUAGGGUCUUAUUUUAAAACCGCAAUUUUUUACUAACCUUUCAUCGCUUAGAGACAUAAUGUCCGAAUUAUAUAAAAUAAUUCUUCUAUUAAUUCAUUCCUGAGAAUAAUAAUAAUUCCACAAUGCCACAGAAUUCAUUUUUAAAUUAUUCAACACAGUUUUAACGAACAAAUUAUUAUUAUUUUCUUUAUUUUGCUCGUUUAUACUUUGACAUUUUUGGAAGUAAUGCCAACUAUUACAAAAAAAGAAAAAAAAGCAAAGGUGAACAACAUUGUUAGUGAUGCGUAAGCAAUACAGAGUAUCAAUUGCCAAUCGCAUCGCAUUGGGCUUUCGAAUCGCAUUGUCUUUCGCAUCGCUUUAUAGAGUAAGCCCCCUGCUUUUUUAAACACAGAUGUCGGAUUGUGCAAUAGACACAGUUCUAAUUAGUUAGUUGAGAUAAUGAGUAAUAAGGUGUUAAGUUGUUGAAAUAAGAAAUAAAGAUAAGUGUAUAUGUAUUAAAUUGGGUCUUUAAUUUAUCAAUCCAGUGAUUGAACUAAAGAGUGAAUUACAAGGUAGACGAUUUAUCGAGAAAUCCGUUACAUUAUUAAAGCGAGCACGCAAUGGCAUCCGCUUAUUCGUUUACUACGGGUAUAAUUUAAUAUAAAAAUUAAUAGUUAUACAUAGGGGAAAUACAUAAUUAUUAUUUCUCUUGGAACUACUGUUGAAUGAAUUUUGCUUUAUGUAAUAGCUAGUUAAAAAAAACUUACACUUAAAAAACUUCAAGCUAUAAAGUAAAAAAUAAUUUAGAUAAUAAGUUUAGAACAAAAAAGAAGAGUUUUCAUAGCAGUUAUUUUUCGAUGUUUAAUGUAGAUGUUUUGAUGGUAGGCAUCUGAAUUUUUACUACAAAAAUUUUAUCAUAAGCAUAGCUUUGCAAUUGCAAAAAAAAAUUGUAUUACCUGAAAGUCAUGUGUUUUCCAUUACCACAGUUUUUGUUGUGUACGCUUUUGCAUUUAAAAUUUCCCGAUAAAUAUACUUUCUUUAAGGAUAAACACAUAUGCAAUUCAAAUGUCACCAACAAUAGUUGAAACUUUUAGCAACUAAAAGCGUAUUAAAAAAAAAGAAGAUUGUUAAUGUAUUAAAGUGAAAAGUGACAUUUUUUGGUAGAUCUUAUAGACCCUGUUUAUGAAAAUAUACACUUUCAAAAAACUGACGUCGCCACUAGCAAAAUAAAUUUCGAGCAAUCUGAUCGAUGGGUAGUGGACUUUUAAUUCUUCCCACUCUAAAAUGGGGUUACUUUAAAGAGGAGAAAGAGGAGUUGCUAACAAAAUAAGAGUCUACAUUUUCUCUUUGCUUCUUUUGUCAUAAAACAAGUUUGCGGUGAUGUUUCCAAAAAUAAAAAGAUAUCUCAGUAUCUUCAUCCGAAUCUUUUCUAAAAUCUUAGUAACAAAUUUAUAACAGGUGAUUCAAGUAGAGAUACUUUUUUAAUAGCCUUUUUUUGACAGAUCUCGCGUGAGUCGUGUCAAGCUGGCAUGUUAUUUUUGUUCAGUAUUCUUUGAUAUUGCAUCAUGGGAAGACUUACGCCCGAACUAUGUUUACAAAUCGCUCAACUUUCUUACGAAAAUUCACAAUAUGUUCAACAAUAUUUCUUUAUGUAGCUCAUGCUACGUUCUGUUACCGUAAUUGGCCCGGAUUUUAUCCAGCCAAGGUAUCUAACCUUGUUUGGAUCGGUAAAUUUGUUCUGACUGAAGCAAUUUACAGCAGCACGGUUUUUCCGCAAUCCGAGUCCGGAGAAAUUUCGCUGCUGCAUUUGGUUUAGAAGGCUCCAUCCAAACUCCACUUCGCUUAGGUGCAAUAUAUGCGUUUAAUGGAGGAUAACAGCCGAAUAUUGUUAGGGCACUUUGUAGUGAAAACCGUUGAGGCAAACGAUUGUAUGAGAAUUGAGCUGGCGUAACAGAUAGACGAUUUGACAUUCUCCAUAACGAAUGACGAAGCCCGCACUAGAAUUAUAGGCAAUUUUAAUAGCUUGCCUGGCGACUUUCAAACAAGCAAAAUCUUCCAAAUAUGCUGGCUCAGAUGGAAUAAACAUGCUCUCUUAAAAUAUGCGAUGUGUGUAAAGUUGGAAGAGUGGUCCCACUACUUAAACCCUGUGAUCCUGCCAACAAAAGGUGGUCUUAUCGCCCGGUAACUCUUCUUUCCCCAGUAGUGAAAAGCCUUGCUGCUCCCGACAUACACUCACCACCUGACUACCAGCAUGGUUUCUGCAAAGUCCACAACAGCACCUCAGAACUUAGCGUCAUAAACGUGCCACCGUGUAAGAGGACGAUCCACACAACACUACUUGAGGACAUUGAACGCUUUCUCCAUAGUUGAAGAGGUGGACUAGGACCUACCUGAGCGGUCAGGAAUCAUCCAAACUGUUUCGAGUGCGGACUGGACGUUAACACAGCAAUCGAUGACGUUUAAAUUCCGUCUGUUAAUAAUCUAAAAAUUGUAUGCGUAACAUUUGACAACCUGUACUAUAAUCCUCAAACAACCACGAUAACUGCCAAAGUACAGAGCCAGAACAAAAUCCUCAAGACUCUAGCCGGCAGCUCUAACGGAAAAGACAGAGAAACGUUGUUUGCAGCACACAAGGCAAUCGGUGGCCGGCCGGUCUUAAACUACUUCGCAGCGGUAUCGUCACCCGGAUGCACUAAAAGGCAGACGAAGAAUUUUCAGACGUGCCAGAACACUACACUCCGGACUAUCAACAGGAUGCCUCUUAAUGUCUCCUGUCGAACACUUUUAAUGCGAGGCCCGUAACCGUCCCUGCUUCUUCUCCAAAUAAAUACCCGUAGCGUAUUUGCGAACUGAUGACACCGAACUUCAAUUUAUACAUGGUAAACUGCGAAGGUUAUAUUAGGGCACGUUUAAUGGUUACAAAAAAAAACUUGAAAUCUUUAUGAUAUUACUACAGGAACCAAGACACCACAACGGUGUAGAGAUCGUACACUUACACAGUCGCAGUUCGUAUAAUGCCGAGCUAUGCUGUAUUGAUAAAUAUUAGUAGAGUGGGGCAGCUAGGCAGCGAUUCUUCAGCUUCCGGACUAGAGAGCAGUUUAUUAUGGAUUCGUAUCAUUGCGUAGUAAACUAUCAGAGCUUAGGAAAUCAGUUCGUAGGCAAUUUAAUUAAGCCAAAUGUGAAGGAAACUGUCAGGAAUACAAACUUCACUUAAGUAUUUACAACAAAAAUAUUACGUCUGCGAAACAUAACAGCUUUGGAAAAUUCCGCGAAAUCGUCUCCUAAAGGGCACUCCUGUAUACGCAUUUCUCGAAGACACUACUGGACGACCAAAUUCAAUCGAUGUCACACAUAGUCCAGAUUAGGUAGUCACAAUACAGUUAUUUACUGCAGAGUCAAUCAAGUGGGCUCUGGCUUUCUUCUUGAAAUAUAAGUCACCGGAGGCAGAUAAUAUCAUUCCAGCAUUUCUGCAAAAAGGAAGGCAAGUUUUACUGCACCACCUUGUUGGGCUGAUGAGAGAUAGCCUUGCGAAGGCUUACAUAUAUACUAGAACAAUGGUAAAGUUAAUCUUCAUACCUACGGUAGGGAAGAAGGUCUAUUCAUUGAAAAAAAUCUUCAGAUCAAUUAGUCUCACUUUCCUCAUAAUAAAAAGAAUGAAAAAGAUUAUACUUAUAAACGAAAUAAGGUCGAAUGCGCUGAAGGUGGCACCCUUACCUGCCUUACCUUACCUUAUCCAAAUUUCUCUGGGCAAUGAAGAGCUGUAAUUAUGCACAUUCUUAGACGUCGAUAGUGGUUUUGACAAUGCGUCCCACGCAAGUGAUAUAAAACUUGUACUGCGCAUUUGAAUAUCAGAGAUCACUAUACAAUAAUCUAAGCUUUGUCCCUUUAUUAUGGAGCCUAGAGGUGGAUGAGGUCAUUGCUAACCAGCAAUGUGAUCCGUUCUCAAGGAUACACUGCCGACAUCAUUGUAUUAUAGAGGUUAAUUCGAGAACACUCUCUGCGAUGGGCUUUAGACCUAGGAAAUGGAUGGUAUAAUACGGUUAUACUAAUUAUCAAAACAACCAUCGACCAAAAUCGAGCACCAAGAAGGUCUCUGCCGGGCCUGAGGACACUAACCCAUAGCGCCAGAGAGUUAGAGAUGACAAAUGAAGCCAAAUAUCUGAGUCUCACUUUGCAUUCAGGUCUUCGGUGGAAGCAUGCGAUUCUAACCAUGGUUAACGUCACAAAGCAUUUAUGAUGAUUAUGAUUUCGUUUGGCCGGUAAACCAAUGGGUUACAAGCCAAGGUUUAUCAAAUGGAUGAACACCACGAUGCUCAGACCAGUGACAAGGACAUUGAAAGCAUAGCGGGUACGUGCCCAACAGCAACACUAGAGGUCAUACUGGAACUCAUAUCGCUCCACCUGGUAAUCAAUCAAACUCCAAAACAUACUAUACUUUACAUAACAGCAGAAGGGUAUGGGAGAGGGAAGGUUAUUUCGUUCCAACAAAUGAAGGCUUUCAGUGAUGAAACUCCACUGACUCCUCUCCCGUGAGACAGCAUUACCAAAAUGGUAAACUUUACAAAGAAGUUUAUGGUUACCUUCGGCAGUAAGGCCACAGAUGGUUCGAAAACGUCGGAAGGCAUUGGUGCAAUUGUAUCAUCCUUUCCAUACCUAUGGAUAUGGAACGUUUUCUUAACAUUUCUUCGCUGAAGUCUUUGCUAUAAGUCGGUCUAUAGAAAUGAAUCUAACACAACGAUUGCAAUGAAAGUAUUGCCAUACUCAGCGAUAGUCAAGCGGCUCUUAAAGUGAUCUGAGCUUACUUGAUUGCUUCGCUUUUGGUGCAGGAGAUACAGCCCGGUUAAACAGCAUAUCAGAUCGCGUUGGAGUACACUUCAUCUCCAGUAUCAUGUUCCUAGGAAUAGCCUGGAAUAAACUGGUUGACAAGCUUGCAGCUGCUUAGAAGAUGAAUCCGAUUGGUGAUCACAUAUCAUUAAUAGCGUCCAGCAGGAUCUUGGAAUUUAUCAGAUGUUGGAUCUCACAUAGUGUGUGACAGAGGGGAGCAGAGUAGAGUUAUGUUGCGAUGCAAGCCUCAACUUUUUUCUGUCGAUACAGCAAUAAAUAUAUUUAUGUUCAUAGAUAGCUAAAUGAAUUUGAAAUCACUAAAGUAUCGAAAAAUCGAAGAUAGUAAAAGAAACAAAAAUAGUGAAUCCAAUAGCCGAUUUCACGAUAAACCUGAAAUGUGUUCAAAGACACAGUGAUAUUGCAGGUGAAGCUGCCUAAACAGGUCCCUACAAUUAGAGCCGAAAAAAAGGGAAUAUACAAUAUAUACCGUCUCUUGUUACUUGUAUAUAUUUAAUCGACAAACAUGAUCUGAUCGAGUUCAGGAGGUUUUGACGUUAACUAUUGGAAACGAGAAAUAGCCAUAUUGAAAUCUUAUCAAACAAAUCUGUAAACGGAGGGAUUUGUUGCAUUGUUCAAGACCACUUAUAAAAAAUGUAAAACAAUGAAUGAAUUUGUGAAAUUUCAUUGUAUUUGAUGAAACGUGUUGUAAUCUCCAGCAUCAUAGCAUUAUUAAAAACAUUUAUUGAUUGAGAGCUAACAAACUUAAAUUCUUUUAUUGGGUUAAUACCCAAAAGGUCAAAAGUCAGUUAUUUUAAGAUACCAUAAAAAGAUUUAAAUACUUUCUCUAUAUAUUAAUUAACCACUAUAUAGUAAUAUGUUUUUUCGUACUAAAUGUUAGUUGUUUUAAUUUAAAUGCCCAAAAAUUAUUUUGUCCAAUCUGGCCAUAAUGAAAAAUUUUAUAAAAAACCCUAAUUUUGAAGUGCUCUCCCACUGGAAUAAGUUGGAUAUCUCUUUAUCCAUGGUUCACAGUAAUUGAAAUCUCAAGAAAAAAAUUGGCAGUAGUCCAAAAGUUAUAUACAACUUCUUGCGUAAUUAGUUGGAGUACGGUCGAAAUAAUAAAAUGUGUAACAAUAAGGUUAUUUGCGAUUUUAAAAAAAGAAAAAUUUUGAAAAAGGCACCCAAAUCACUUGAAUCGAUCACAAGUCAAGGCAAAUAAUGGUGCUAAAGAGAGGUUGGGUGCGUUCGAGAUGGCAAUCACGACAGCAGCGUUACAAAUUUCUCAAAGUAUCACGUUCUACGCGAAUUUGUGGCAACCCUUGCAACAGCAUCUCGUUCUACCGUCACUUUUUACUGCCAGACGUCAAUUACCCCUGCGGGUAGGGUUAAGAAUAUACCCGUGGUAAGGCAUGCCUGUCGUAAGAGGCGACUAAAAUCCAUAUGCACUAUAUCUUUCAUUAUAUGCUACCUUAAAAUGUCAGCAUAGUCUAUGUCAGAAAUAGUGCUACAAUACUCAGCUUGAAAUGAUAUUAUAGGUUUUAUAUUUAUUCCUAAUAUAAGACAUUUAUUGUUCAAACGACAAAUGUCACCAGUCAUUGAGUUUUGGGGGCUCAACUGGUAGUAGCAAAAGCUACAAGGUGUCACCAGAGACUUUAACCUGGUACCACGAGAAGCAGUUAGCCCUUGGAGUUUACUCCAAUCUGCUCAUUCGGUUUGGCCCGUUGGGGAUUCGUGGUGGCUGCAGUUUGAACCUAAAGGCAGGCAGGAUUGAAAAAUGUCAGUCCAAUGUGCAGUCGCAUUGCGGCCGAGUGCCGGACCCAAAGUACGGCAGAGGUUUUAGGUCGGCCUCGUACCCGGCCAAGGUAACUAAGGUGUCCCUAUCCACCUGAACCAAUUGGAACCAAAGUGUACGUGCUAAUUGCAUUUAUACUUUGGGGCGCUGAUCAACGCACUGUUGUGAUCUAUGUGCUUCUAGAAAGCACCGUGAGGUUAGACCGUCGCCGGCAGGUACUCACGUAAAGCACUCUGAACAUUGACUGACGUCAAUAUCGUGCAAUCAUCGGCGUACGUAGUUUUUACCACCAUCCACUUAUGUAGUUUAUAGUACACCUCUUCAACCAUGGACAGAGCAUCGAUUUCCUGUCCUCAAGUAGCGCUGUGUGGUUGCAUGUGUAAAAGACUUUUGACAAGUCCACCGCUACGAGGAUCAUUUGUGCACUUUGCAGAAGCCAUGCUGGUGGUCAGAUGGUUAAUGAAUGUCGUAGCCUCAAAUAUUUUCACUACUGGGGAAAGGAGAUCUGUUGGACAAUAGUCUCCGUUUUUUUGGGCGAGAUUCCUAGAUCUCAGUAGGGGGAUCGCUCUACCGACUUUCUACACAUUGGUAUUAGUCUAAGAUCCCACCAUAGCACGACCAUCACCCAUCGUAUUACGGGAUGAAAAUAUUUUUUAUAUAAAAUUUGUUAAAUUAAAAUAUUAAUUUCGAGGAGGUUGCCUGGAAAUUGUGAUGCUAAGUGUAAAUAAUUAAUAAUUAAAAAAAGAUUUUUUUUUUAACAUUACACCCACUCUCCUACGCAAUAAGCAGUAGACUAAUCGAAAGCAUAUAGCUUGUAGAAUAUGCAAACACUGGGUUGCCUUCUUUUUCCCGGUGCAAUUAUUGGGUUGCCAGGUACAUACAGGUAACUUAAAAAUAGUGAUUUGCACCUAUCGACUUACGCGAUAAACCUUAUACCAAAAUAAAGAUAAUUUUAUUGCGAGUAUAAUGAUAUAAGGUUGCCUGCGAAUUGGUGCUGAAUCCCGGUUGUCGAGUAUUAAAAAACGAAAUAUUCGUGCGGCUGAAUACGUGCGAAAGAUACGUCCGAGGAAUGUAUUCAGUGCCAAAGAAAAGGACGCAGCAUUGCAGUUGUGUGUCGCUCCUUCGUCGAAAAAAAAACAGCCUUGGUACAUUUUUUAGCUGAGUAUUGGGAAAACCAAAAUUUGGUAGCGAUCAUCGGAAAUAAAAAGAUUUUUUUAACUGUUGACCACCAGUGUUUCUCUUACGAAGUCCAACAAAAUUCCAUAAAAAAAGUGAAGAAGUUGAUUAUGUGUCAUCAUGAAGAUGCAUAUAAAGCGCCACCUGAGUCGAAAAUUUUAAUUAAUGCCUCUGAUACCGAUGUUCUGGUUAUUUUGCUGGGAAAUAUUCACAAAAUUCAGCAUUCUGAAAUUUGCCUAGCCAAUUCAGCGACAAAAAAUAAAAAUUAUCAACAUUUGGAGUGCAUUAAUUGCACUUUUACAUUACAAGUUAUGCCUAAGUAUUCCAGCUUUCCAUGCAUUUACAGGAUGUGAUUAUACGGCUGCAUUCUACAAUAAAGGAAAAGUGAAACCAUGUAUAUAAAUUAUUUUCCAAAAACGAAAAGUAUCAGACAGUUUUUUCAUCAUUGACAGAUGAAGCUGGUGUUUUUAUCAACGAAAAAAUGGACACAGCUCAAGAGUUCACAGCUAAUAUGUAUGGUAUAAAAAACUGCAAUAGGGUGAAUGAAGCGUAAUAUCGAAAUUUUGUGAAAAGUUAUUCUUCAAAAGAAGACAACGAAAAAUUCUUUAAAAAAAAUUAAAAGUUUUGACUCAAAUACUAUACCACCGUGCUGGAUAUCACUUAAACAAAAAACUUUAAGAACAAUUUUUGUGAAUUCUAUGUGGCUUCAUGCAACGGAUCCUGAAUGUGUUAAACUACAGCCUGAAACCUGCUUUUGGUUUGUUGAUGAUUAUCUAAAACCAACAGGAUUCAUUGGGGACCAAACGCCUUUAACAGUACAAGAUAUUGCUGAAAUGACAGAAAAAGAAAAUAGUGACGACGAAUGUUCAGAACUUGAAGAUGCCAGUUUUUCUUUGGAUGAAUCAGAUUUUGAAUAAUUUUUAAUCACUAUGUUAUUGUAUUUAUAACAAAUGGCACAGAAUACGUUCCUCGGACGUAUCUUUCGCACGUAUUCAGCCGCACGAAUAUUUCGUUUUUUAAUACUCGACAACCGGGAUUCAGCACCAAUUUUUCGCAGGCAACCUUAUAUCAUUAUACUCGCAAUAAAAUUAUCUUUAUUUUGGUAUAAGGUUUAUCGCGUAAGUCGAUAGGUGCAAAUCACUAUUUUUAAGUUACCUGUAUGUACCUGGCAACCCAAUAAUUGCACCGGGAAAAAGAAGGCAACCCAGUGUUUGCAUAUUCUACAAGCUAUAUGCUUUCGAUUAGUCUACUGCUUAUUGCGUAAGAGAGUGGGUGUAAUGUUAAAAAAAAAAUCUUUUUUUAAUUAUUAAUUAUUUACACUUAGCAUCACAAUUUCCAGGCAACCUCCUCGAAAUUAAUAUUUUAAUUUAACAAAUUUUAUAUAAAAAAUAUUUUCAUCCCGUAAUACGAUGGGUGAUGGUCUUACUAUGGUGGGAUCUCCUACUAUAUCUGAAGAGUGAUCAGCGACAGGUAGAGGAUCUUGGUUAGGAAGCUAACUGCCUUAGAGCUAUGGAAAGUGUUUUAGCAUCAGCAAGUUUAUUCCAUCUGGGCCAACAGGUUUGGAAUCUCCUACGAUAUCUUUAGUUAAUAAAGUUCUAAAUAUAAUUGAACAACGUAUUUUUGCCCAGUGGAUUAAAAUUCAAAUGACUGAGGAUGAUAGGCAUACAGGUGCAAAUCAUGACUCAUUCGUUUACAAUGUUAGUUAUGACAUUUUGAUCUUGGGCGAUGCUGGCUAUCCUCUGCACAAAUUUUUAUUGAUGCCUUUUCGCUUGGCGGCAGCUUUUCCACCACAAGCACACUACAACACUGUACUCUCAAAGGCCCGGAAUAUUGUAGAGCACACAAUUGUUGUACUCGAAGAAGUAGAUUUCGAUCUUGGUUUACAUAACACACCUGAAAAGGCUACGCAAAUUGUUAAUGCUUGUUACGCAUUGCACAAUAUUUGGCUCGAAAUAAUUCGCAAAAAUAUUAUGGCUUCCCUCAAAAUAAUUAAGAUAUUACACUUCAUUUAUUCUUUAUAAUGAAUAAUUUAUUCAGUCUUAUUUAUAAAAUAAUAGAGAAUAUCACUUCGUGCGGUAAAUAAUCUAAAAAAAAAAUUAAAAUCAUUGUGAAGAUUUUAAUCUGGCAAUUUUGGGGAGCUGAACCUCAAUUUUAAGCGCAUGGAGUUCAUGCGCAUCGCUUGUCUUUCUUUCAUAGAUCUUCAUUUUCCUUUCUUUCAAGUCCAAAGCUUCUUUUCGAAGAGUAUAUGAUUUAUGCAAAGUUUUCUCCUACUGUCCAAUGUUUUUUUAUUUGCUGAGUUGAAUGGAGUUGCAGCCUUUCCUACUCCAUGCAAUCGUUCGCCCUCCUCAACUGAAUUCUUCUGGUUGGGUAUGGAAUCGAUGACAUGUGUUCAAAAGUAAACGGAUAUCUCUCCGACCUUUCUCAUAUUUUCUCUGCACGGAAUUCAACAAUAUCCCUCACCAAAUCCACUGCGACCAUAUUUACAAUGGAUGAAGGAGUACAGACCUUAAUAUUGCAGUCGAUAGCGUCAAGAUUCCGACUGUAUAUAAUCCUAAGAUUUUAGAUGUAUCUUUUGACGGUCUAUGCUCCUUCACUCCUUGUACAACCGCGAUUAUUGCCAAAGUACAGAGCCGAGAAAAUAUUAUCAAGUCGCUAGCCGGCAGCACAUGUGGAAAGGACAAAUAAAACGUUGUUGCCAACUUACAAGGCAGUCGACCGGCCAAUCCUCAAUACGCCGCACCAAUAUGGUCGCGUAGAUGCAGUGAAACGCAGACGAAGAAUCUUCAGACUUGAACACUGCACUCCGGACUACGACAGGAUGUCUCCUAUAGAACACCUACAUAGUGGGGCCCGUAUGCUCCCAGUUAAGGAACAUAAUGAACUCCUCUCCAAGCAGUUCCUGCUGAGAUGCUUUCGCCGAAAUCACCCCUGCAGUCACCAGCUUGGAGUGGAACCGCCUCCUAGGAACAUCAAGACGUCAUUCCUCAAGUACGUUGAAGACAUUAGACAGUACGCCAACCAGACUUCAGACGCAACAAACCUUCGACAAGGACUGAACGCCAUUCUCAGCGGAGCCAUGAACACCUUCACCGACUCCCUUCCAGUGAAUGGCGUACUCGGAGUCAAACCACCACCCAUCGCAGACUAAAAGCUCGAGUUGCCACGAGAAACGAGAGUAACCCUUGCGCAGCUUUGUUCUGGAUACUGUAGCAGGUUAAACUCCGACUUCUCCAGAAUAGAUGAGCCGACAUAUCCAAUAUAUGUCCUGCGUGCACUGCCUCCGCAUGACACUGGCCACCUCUUUGCAUGCCACACCAAUCCAACUUAUUUAGUACACCUCUCCCUUUGGUCUGACCCCGUCAACACAUCACGUUUUUUGGGCCUUCCGUUAGAUGACGUCGACAACAACUUGGCUAACC